rnacentral:rRNA from 1 species
CGGGAAUUUUGGGCAAUGGGCGAAAGCCUGACCCAGCAACGCCGCGUGAAGGAUGAAGUAUUUCGGUAUGUAAACUUCGAAAGAAUGGGAAGAAUAAAUGACGGUACCAUUUCUAAGGUCCGGAUAACUACGUGCCAGCAGCCGCGGUAAUACGUAGGGACCAAGCGUUGUUCGGAUUUACUGGGCGUAAAGGGCGCGUAGGCGGCGUGGUAAGUCACUUGUGAAAUCUCUGAGCUUAACUCAGAACGGCCAAGUGAUACUGCUGUGCUAGAGUGCAGAAGGGGCAAUCGGAAUUCUUGGUGUAGCGGUGAAAUGCGUAGAUAUCAAGAGGAACACCUGAGGUGAAGACGGGUUGCUGGGCUGACACUGACGCUGAGGCGCGAAAGCCAGGGGAGCAAA